GACGAACGCUGGCGGCGUGCUUAACACAUGCAAGUCGAGCGAACAGGCCAUGCGUUUGUGGGGUGCUCGAGUGGCGCGCGGGUGAGUGACACGUGAGUAACCUCUCCUUGUCUUUGGGAUAACUUCAGGAGACAGCGGAUCAUAUAGGAUAGGAGCUCUUGCUGCGUAGUGUGGGUUGGAGAGUUUCGGCGGUUGGGGAUGGACUAGCGGCUUAUCCGCUUGAUGGUGGGGUUGGUGCGUACGAAGCCUUUGACGGGUAGCCGGCCUUGGAGGGUGACCGGCGACAAUGGGACUGCGAUACGGACCAGACGGCUACGGGACGCAGCGGCGGGGAGUAUGGCAGAGUAGGCGGAAGUCUGAUGCAGCAACGUCGCGUGCGGGAUGACCGCUUUCGGGUUGAAAACCGCUGUCGCCGGAGACGAAGCGGGAGUGACGGUAAUGGGUAAAGAAGCACCGGCUAACUACGUG
rnacentral:rRNA from 1 species